AUUCCAGCUCCAAGAGCGUAUAUUAAAGUUGCUGCGGUUAAAAAGCUCGUAGUUGGAUUUCAGUCUAGGAAGGUUAACUCGCCGAAAGGUUGUACGUUGAUUUUCCUCAGACUUCGUCAGAAGCUCGUGCUGCACUUAACUGUGUGGUACGAUGUUCUGACCUUUUACCUUGAGGAAAGUAGAGUGUUUCAGGCAGGCUACCCAGCUUGAAUACAUUAGCAUGGAAUAAUGAAAUGGAUCUCGGUUCGAUUUCGUUGGUUCUAGAGCUGAGGUGAUGAUCAAUAGGAACAGGCGAAGGUAUUCGUACUUGAGAGUGAGGAGUGAAAUCCGAUGAUCUCUUAAAGACGAUCCGAGGCGAAAGCAUUUGUCAAGGAUGUUUUCAUUA
rnacentral:rRNA from 1 species